rnacentral:rRNA from 1 species
CAGCCGCCGCGGGAAUACGUAGGUGGCAAGCGUUGUCCGGAUUUAUUGGGCGUAAAGCGAGCGCAGGCGGUUUCUUAAGUCUGAUGUGAAAGCCCCCGGCUCAACCGGGGAGGGUCAUUGGAAACUGGGAAACUUGAGUGCAGAAGAGGAGAGUGGAAUUCCAUGUGUAGCGGUGAAAUGCGUAGAUAUAUGGAGGAACACCAGUGGCGAAGGCGGCUCUCUGGUCUGUAACUGACGCUGAGGCUCGAAAGCGUGGGGAGCAAACAGGAUUAGAUACCCCGGUAGUCCCUGUCUCUUAUAC